ACACUUACCUAGCAGGGUAAGUGCCACAACCAUGAAGGUGGUUUCCCAAGCGAGGCUUAUCCAUUGAGCUCCAGAUGUGUUGAACCCUGUGAUUUCCCCAAAUUCGAGAAACUUGACUGCAUGUGAUAGUUGGGGGACUGGGUUCAAGCUCUCCCCUA